rnacentral:rRNA from 1 species
UACAGAGGGUGCAAACGUUGUUCGGUGUCAUUGGGCUUAAAGGGUGCGUAGGCGGUCGGGCAAGUUGGGUGUGAAAUCCCCUGGCUUAACCAGGGAAUUGCGUCCAAUACUACCAGACUCGAGGACCAAAGGGGAGAGCGGAACUCCAGGUGUAGCGGUAAAAUGCGUAGAUAUCUGGGGGAACGCCGAUGGUGAAGACAGCUCUCUAGGUGGUUCCUGACGCUGAGUGCACGAAAGCUGGGGGA